UGGAUGAUUUGGAUGAUUUGUGAAGGUUUAAGAGGAGAUUGGAGAAGGUUUAUGAUGAAAUAGGGGUUGAAAAUGGUGAUGAACGCGUGAUGGACGAGUGAAAGUAAUGGAAAAGUGGUUGAAUGUAUUGGGGAAGAUGAAGAAAUUCGAAAUUACACGUUUUCCCGUGCACCUACGCCUCGCGUGAUGCCCUUCCACGCCGCGCGUAGUGUAAAAAUUGUAACGGU
rnacentral:lncRNA from 1 species